GGGCGGAGAGGUAGACACAGAAUCAAUCCAAAGCAGGCUCCCGGCUCUGAGCUGUCAGCACAGAGUCCAAUAUGGGGCUCCAACUCACAAAUUGUGAGAUCAUGACCUGAGCCAAAGUUGGACGCUAAACCAACUGAACUACUCAGGCACCCCGGGAUCAUUUACAUUUUAAAAGCACCUGCCAUAUUUUGCAGAAAUGAUUUUUUUUUAAGUUUAUUUAUUUUGAGAGACAGAGCAUGAGUGGGGGAGGGACAGAGAGGGGGAGAAUCCCAAGCAGGCUCCAUGCUGUCAGCACGCAGAGUCCCAUGUGAGGCUCAGACUCACUAAACCAUGAGAUCAUGACCUGAGCGAAAUCAAGAGUCAGGGACUUAACCAACUGAACCACCCAGUCGACCCACAAAAAUGAUUUCUUUUGGAAAGAAGUCCUGUGUACCUGUGAGCACCUAUACAGAAGUUAAAAUUCCAAGAUGAUCUGUUGAAUGUUCUUAAUUUGUCCUUCCCUUCCUCCAAUGGUUGUUGCUCAUUGUUUGGGUUCUCCAUACUCAAUACUGGGUUCCAAUACUCAAAUAAUCUUUUAGGAUUAGUACUUAAUCCCAGAAAACAAAAAUAUUCAAGGCAUUCCUAUGGAUUAUGAUGAGGAAAGGGGAAAUUUUAUCAAGAAGAGAUGAGCUAUUAGUAUUACUGUCAACUCCGUGCUCAGAUUCAUAUGGAAAAGUAUAUAAAAUAUCAAAGAUAAAAAAUACAGAAAUUGUUAAAUCAGGAGGCAUUUAGUUUAUAUGAGCUAGCUGAAGUGUACAAUCCUGUGUCCCGUAUCAGUAAAGGUUUGUUUUCCUAAAAAGGAAAUAGAUUAGAUGAUGCUAUUAAAUAAUGUAGUGGUUAAGAUUCUAGAUGCUAGAGUAAGACUAGCCCUAUUCAGAACCUGGCACUACUUCUCUGAUAAUGUAACUUCAAACUAUUUAAUCUCUCUAAACCUUGGUGCUUUGCGUAUAAAACAGGGAUCAUGACCAUACCUACUUCAUUCAUUUGUAAGACAGUGUUAAGAAAAAUAGUAAAUUUUUAAUAAGAGCUUUAUUGUCUUUUCUUGUAGCUAAAAGCUAUUGACAAAAUAACGCAUCUGUUUAUGAAUGUGAUUGAAUGAAAUGUUUGCUUUUAAAAAUACAUUGACCUAGUUGGGAAAAACUGCAUAAGGGAAUAAACUACAAAGUGAAUGAGUGGGAGGACUUGCCACAGAAGCAACAAAGACCAAGAAGCCGGUUACUUAGAGCUCAUCAAACCCUGGUUUAUGUUGCUCUGGAGGCCAUCUCUCUCUUCGAGACAGUCUCUGGAGUCUCCCAAAGUAAACCUCUUAUGUGUGGUAGGCUUACAUCCUUCUGGAGUCACUGAGGGUGGCAGUGUGGGGAAAAGCAGCAUCUGGUUUUAACCUUCACAGUUUCCUCCCAAGAGGGAAACAGGACCUGUUUUAUGGAAGAAGACCAUAGAGUUAAAGCGCUGUUUUCAUCACAUCAUAUGAAAGGUACCUACUAUGAAUGUGACUUAUCAGUGUUGAUAGUAGCCUUAGUCAGCUGGCUGAGGUAGUGUUUGCCAGGUUUCUGCACUGUAAAGUUGUUCUUUUUCUCUCUCUCUCCAUACUGCACUCUUUGGAAGGAAGUCACUAUGCUCAGUCUACACUGAAGGAGUGGGGGAGUUAUAUUCCAUCUUCUUGAGGACAGAGUAUCUACAUACAUUUUUUGGGAUUCUUCUGCACAUGAAAUUUAUCUUUAUUUAUUUAUUUGUAUCGGUAUGAACUCAUGGCUCUUUACUUUAUACUUUGGAUUAUAAUCCAAUAUUACUUUUAAUGUUUUUUUUUGUUCUAAUAGCUCUAGCUUUGGCCACUGGGAGCUCUUUCAGCUGUAUCCUGUGUCCUUUUGGUAUACGCCCUCAUCAAGUGUUUUCCCAGUCGGCAUGCAUUAAGAUUCAGUUUUUGUGUUGUAAGGUUUAUGGGUUUUGAUGAACACAUAGCAUCAUGUAUUCACUAUUACAUUAUGAUAUAGAGUAGUCUCACUGCCCUAAAAUAUCUCCUGUGCCUCAUUUACUCAGUCUUCCCCUGCCUGGAACCCCUGGCAACCAUUGAUCUUUUUACCAUUUCUAUAGUUUUACCUUCUCCGGGCUGUCAUAUCAUUGGAACCAUAUAUUAUGUAGCCUCUAUAAAUUGGAUUCUCUCACUUAGCAAUAUGUAUUUAAAAGUCAUAUUCAUAUUUUUAUGGUUUGAUGGUGUAUUUCUUUUUAUCACCGAAUCAUAUUCCAUUAUAUAGAUAUGCCACAGUUCAUUUAUCCUUUCACUUGUUAAAGGACAUCUUAGUUGCUUAUAGUUUUUGCAAUCAUGAAUAAAGAUGCUAUAUACAUUUGUGUGCAGGUUUUGUUUGGACAUAAAUUUUGAAACAAGUUAAUAUCUUUUUAACAUUUAUGUUUCAGUUUGUAAUUGUUGGUUUGUAAUCAUCUAGCUUUUAUAUGGCUUCUCACAUAGAGCUAUUUUAAAAAUAAUGAACAGUUUCACAUAAUAAAUCUGUUCAGAAUCAGGUACCAUCUUUUAUAAAGUAUAAACAAUAAACCCAUUAAUAUUUUAUGGAAUAAAGGGAACUUUAAAUAUAGGGCACUUUAGAAAUAUUUACAUUUAAUGUUUUUUGAAAUAUGAGCGGACCUGUGGUCUGACAAGGCCAUUUCUUUCAUAUCACAAACAGGGACAUUUAUAGGUGUUAAAUUAGCUGCAAAAUUGUUCCUUUAUUUCUCCCUCACUAAUAAAACAUGUUAAAAAUUACAUGUUUGGAAAUCCAAAUACAAGGAUUUGUAAGUUGAAGUAAUAAAUAUAGCACUAUAUUAGAUAACUAAAACCAGCUUCCUUUAUGUGAAUACCUAUCAGAUAGGACACAUGAAAUGCCAAGCAAUAACAAGCAAUGGAAAUAUUCUCCCUAGAUAUUUCAUCUCUAAAUGCAUGAAUGUGUUACCUAUAGUAUAAUCCUAUUAAAACAUAACUCGUUAUUCCAUAAGAUAUGGCUAUAUAUUAGAGUGGGAGGCAAAUAUAUUCACUGAAAGUCUAAAACAUGGUAACAAUUCUACAAGGAAGGAAGGAAGGAAGGAAGGAAGGAAGGAAGGAAGGAAGAAAGAAAGGAAGGAAGGAAGAAAGAAAGAAAAAAGAAAAGAAAAAAGCCUUUCUAUAACACUGUCUUUUAUCAAAUUGCAAGUUAGUCUUUGUCUUUAAUACUAGUAUUCAAAGAGAGUUCCUUCUUUGGGGAUGAAUUAACAAAAAAUUGCCCCCACAUUGUUACCACCUUAUAGAAUUUUCACUAUAUUUUCCCACAGUAUCCUUGUGCUGACUGGUCCAGCAAAGCUGAAGUAUAAAAUAUCCUGGCAUCAAGAAAGCUUUAACAUUGAAUGUUGUAUUUUAUGUCUUAAGUUAAUUGACGUAAAAUAUUUGAAAAACUGGAAAAGAUCAAGUACUAGGAGAAUGAGGGGCUUAAGAAUAUACUGGCUUGGGGCACCUGAGUGGCUCAGUCCAUUAAGCUUCCAACUUCGGCUCAGGUCAUGAUCUCACAGUUUGUGAGUUUGAGCCCCACGUCAGGCUCUGUGCUGACAGCUCAGAGCCUGGAGCCUGCUUCAGAUUCUGUGUCUCCCUCUCUCUGCCCCUCCCCUGCUUGUGUUCUCUCUCUCUCUCUCUGUCUCUCUCUCUGUCUCUCUCUCUCUCUCUCUCUCUCUCUACCUCUCUCUCUCUCUCUCCCUGUCUCUCAAAAAUAAAUAAACAUUUAAAAAGGAAUAUAUUGGUUCAAUAUA